UACGUAGGGACCGAGCGUUGUCCGGAAUCAUUGGGCGUAAAGAGCGUGUAGGCGGCCAGAUAGGUCCGUUGUGAAAACUGGAGGCUUAACCUCCAGCGGUCGAUGGAAACCAUUUGGCUAGAGUCCGGAAGAGGAGAGUGGAAUUCCUGGUGUAGCGGUGAAAUGCGCAGAUAUCAGGAAGAACACCCGUGGCGAAGGCGGCUCUCUGGGACGGUACUGACGCUGAGACGCGAAAGCGUGGGGAGCGAACAGG
rnacentral:rRNA from 1 species